rnacentral:lncRNA from 1 species
UCAUUUAUAUCAAGUAAUAAAUCUUAAUUAUUAUUUAAAUUGGAUAUUUAGAAUGUAUUUAAUAUAUUUUGUAGCAUUUAAGAAUACUUACCUAUAUUUAAUUAGACAGAAAUUAGCCCUUUCUUACCAAACUAUUUCAGUUAACAAAAAAUAGAAUUUCCCCUGUAUACAAUCACAUACAUACAUUGUAAAAAUCAUAAAUGAGCGAUAAUCUCUUGUUUCUUGAUAGUAUCUAUCCAACAAAUAAAAGCAAAAAAGAAUCAACAACACUUCCGACUUCCUACAUGCUCCACUUACACACGCUCACACGCCAAACAACCAUCCGCAAAAAGGUUCAGUGGCAAGGCUUAGUCGAUGUGAGUGGGUCAGGGCUGGAGUGACAACCGCCGAGACGCCACCUCCCCCACUCCGGCGCUCACCGUCGGCGCACCGACCCAUCAACCAUUUAAAUCCAGCGCCUCCUUUCUAGCAACUCACUUUAAGCCAUUCGCUCUCACGUCGUUCUCUAGCCGCGCACAGUGCCAAACUCAUCCUCAUCUCGCAGCAGCAUGUUCGGAGGUCUUGACCCCACUGGGCUAUAUUGAGAGAUUUUGUGCCAUUUUUAACAAGUUCUUUUUGAUUUAUCGUAAAUUUAAACACGACAUUUUCGCAAUCAUGGACGGAGACAAGUUAGAUCCUACCGGACAGUACUAGUGUGUGACAGUUAACGAAAAAAAGACUUUUAACGAUGCAGAAAACGGGAGGCAAGGGCCUAGACCCCACAGGACUAUACUAAAAUUAAGGAUGUGGCCCCACCGAGGCAACGGUGGACGACAAACUUCCAGUUGCCGCCGUAAAAGACUAUGAUCUUGUUUCGACAAAUACACAGAUUAACAUCUCACUGCCACACAAGUUACCGUUGAUACUUUUGUCCACCCAACAAUUCUGGAUACUUGAAGACUGAUGUUUGUUGUUUUUUAUUACUUUUAAGAUUGUUUUUUUAUUAAAUUAUAUGUAGGUUAAGUUCCUUGAGAACAUCAUCCAUUAUAAUGUAUGUUUCUCUUAUAUUUUUGUAUAUAAGACAAAAUGUCCAAAUGUAUAUGUUUCCAUCCCGUGCUUUUUAUACUAUUAUAUGAAGUUUUUCAUUAAAUAUUUUUAUAUUUUA